rnacentral:ncRNA from 1 species
CGCGUCUUGACGGGGUGCUGGUCUGCCUAAACUAAAUAUGGGCAGACGGCUGAGAUUGCAACGCAGAACCCGCGACCUGAUCCGGAUAAUACCGGCGUAGGAAUUAAGACCACAUAGCUG